CACCGACAUGGAAUAUACUUGGGUGAAUGGCAUGACCAGAUUUGCAUUUUAAGAUCACCCUUUCCUACUGGCAGCAGCACAAAAGACAAGUUGAGGAAGAGUGAGUCUGGAGGCAGGGAGACCAGGCCAAACUUAUGUCAAAGGUGCUUCACUUUUAAGAAGGGUGAACAUGUCAAUCAUUCAAUCAAAUUGUUAGGAUCAAAUUGAGCUCAACAGUGAUUAUAUACAGGGUGCUGUAAAAGAGGUGAGAAACAACAUCAUUACAAAGGACACAAAAAUAAAAGGCAAAAGGAUAUAUUUUUAAAGCCUAACAUAUAAAUAUAAAAAUAGAAAUAAGACCAUAUCUUUCUCAGACUGCCAGAAAAAGCAAAAUCUGGACAAAUGCUGGUUACAAGAUGUCUGCCUAAAAUGAAACGAAAAUACAGAGAUGAGCAAGACAUGCUAGCAAGUACAAAGUAACCGUGGUGCGCAUGGGGAGAGGAGAUGGCAGAAAAGGAGCAAAUAACUAUAAGGUUAGAGAUACUGAUAACCUUUGGACUCUAAAUCAGCUCUACAUGUUAAAACAUGGAGAAUAAUUAUUGAAAAUAUUAGAAACAAAAAUGUGUGAUUUCCCUAUCAAUAGAAGGAAAAAAUAUAAUAAACAAAAUUAAUUUAAUAAUAAAUAAAAAAGGAGCACCAAAAAAAGAAUGCUCUAAUAGAAAAAUGUGAAAAGGAAAUCAACAGGCACUUAACAAAAUAGUAUAAGUGAUCAGUACAGUAAUGAAAAAAAUAUUCACCACCCUCAAAACUAAAGAAAUGCACAUUAAAAUGAGAUACAUUUUUGGCCUGUCAAAUUGGCAAAAGGUUAUAUGAUUAAAGGUUAUGCCUUUUAUUAUAUAAAUGGACAUACAAACCAAUAAAAACAAAGUAAUCCAACACAGAAUAAUCCAAAAGAAAUGUGGGUUAACGAUAGGAGUAAGUGAAUCCUUAAAGAAUCAUGAAUAUCCAAAGAGCGAAGAAAAUGUCCAGGGUCACAAAUAAUUUUAAAAGGAACAUUAGUAUCUUAAGACCGAAUUUUGUCUAAGAAAUUUUUAAACAUUCAAUGAUGGUUAAAGGAUAAUGAAACAAGCUCUUACAAUCUUCCUGGAGAAAAAGUUGGCAAUAUAUCUCCAAAGUUUUCCAAAUAGAACUGACUCUUGACCUUGUAAUUCUAUCUGUCAAACAGAGCUGCUCUGUUUUGUUUUAUCUGUUUUAGAUGCUAAGCUUUUGUGUAUGAUUUUGUUUUAAAAGGGAUUUCAGUGUUCAAAAAGAAAAUUUUAAAACCCCAGGGUUAGAUAACUUAUGGGACAUCCAAUUAUAC
rnacentral:lncRNA from 1 species